UGGGGAAUUUUGCGCAAUGGGGGAAACCCUGACGCAGCAACGCCGCGUGCGGGAUGACGGCCUUCGGGUUGUAAACCGCUUUCAGUAGGGACGAAUUUUGACGGUACCUACAGAAGAAGCCCCGGCUAACUACGUGCCAGCAGCCGCGGUAAUACGUAGGGGGCGAGCGUUAUCCGGAUUCAUUGGGCGUAAAGCGCGCGUAGGCGGUCAUGUAAGCGGGACCUCUAAUCUUGGGGCUCAACCUCAAGCCGGGUUCCGAACUACAUGACUCGAGUGUGGUAGGGGAGAUCGGAAUUCCCGGUGUAGCGGUGGAAUGCGCAGAUAUCGGGAAGAACACCGAUGGCGAAGGCAGAUCUCUGGGCCAUAACUGACGCUGAGGCGCGAAAGCUAGGGGAGCAAACA
rnacentral:rRNA from 1 species